AUCAUUUAGAGGAAGGAGAAGUCGUAACAAGGUUUCCGUAGGUGAACCUGCGGAAGGAUCAUUGUCGAGACCUGCGCGGCAGAACGACCCGAGAACCAGCCGCUCCAAAUGGGCCGGGGUCCCCCGGCCGCCGGGAUGGCGGGGGCGCGCUUCGUCGCCUUUCCCGUCCCGGUCGUACAGUGUAAAACCCCGGCGCGGAAGGCGCCAAGGAUCAGAAACAGGAGAGGCACGCCGCCCGCCUGAGGGACCGUGCAGUCUCGUGCGUAACCACAACGACUCUCGGCAACGGAUAUCUCGGCUCUCGCAUCGAUGAAGAACGUAGCGAAAUGCGAUACUUGGUGUGAAUUGCAGAAUCCCGUGAACCAUCGAGUCCUUGAACGCAAGUUGCGCCCGAAGCCAUCCGGCCGAGGGCACGUCUGCCUGGGCGUCACGCAUCGCGUCGCCCCAAAACCUCCACGCCCUCGUCAUCCAUCCCUCGGGGGGGAUGAGGGGGGGUGCGUGGCCGCUAUGGGCGCGGAAGUUGGCCUCCCGUGGCACACCGCUGCGGCUGGCCCAAAAAGGAGCACGGGAGCGACGCGCUCCGCGGCGCGCGGUGGCGGCAGUACAUGGCCCCUCGGGCAUCCGUCCGGAGCCGUCCCUUCCGCGUUGCUCGGUGGCCUUCCAUCCAAAUAACGCGACCCCAGGUCAGGCGGGGCCACCCGCUGAGUUUAAGCAUAU
rnacentral:misc_RNA from 1 species